ensembl:miRNA Gm22015 predicted gene, 22015
AUGCAUGUAUGUAUGUAUGUAUGUAUGCAUGCAUGCAUGUAUGUAUGUAUGUAUGUGUAUGUAUGUCUG